ensembl:lncRNA
AUGAUUGCAUCCUGUCACAUCGAGGCAGAGAAGGUGAAGCAGGGAGUGAAGUGGAUGAAGUUUUGUUCUUGGUCACAGCAACAAAAAGAUCAGGCAGACAGGAAGAAGCAUCGGGGAAACAGAAAAACAACAGCAGAUGACUCAACAAUGACUGAACAACGGGCUGGACUGGAGGUGCAGGUGGAGGGAGGCGCAGAAACACCGGUGAGGGGGGGAAACACUAGAAAACAGGGACGAAACUGUGCAGAGGGAAGCGCUAACGACAAAGACGCCGUGCAGGUGUGGAGGCAAAGCAGACUGUCGGAGGAGCUCAGGUUUGUUGAGACCGAUCAGGAAGCAGCUGUGAGUUUCUGCAUCAAUGUUUCCAAAAUGAAGUUUCUGAAAAUGUUCAUCGUUUUUACUUCAGGGCCCCAAACACACAGCAGACAAUCAGGUGGAGAGAUUUGUGGGGGGGAGGGGUCGAUGUAAAUGUUGGGCUGAUGAGGAGAUCGGAGACAGGUGAACAGGUGAACAGGGUGUGUGUGGGAGUGAUGGCUGACGGCGGUAAACACAGAGGAGGGUAGAGGUAAUUGCAGGCUGUAGAAAGACAGCGAGACAAAUGACUGAUGAACCGACAACAGGUAAAAUACAACAUGCAAGCAACGUUAAAAGAAAAGUCUGGUGAUUAAACACUGCACUCCUGCAGUAUAACCAACCCAGCUGCAGGAAUAGAUGGAACCGUGGAAACAUUUUCUUAGUUUCGAGUUCCAGUGCCACGUUCUGACUCAUUGUCUCUUUAGGUUAAGGCAUGAAAAUAACAUGCUGAGGCCGGAAAUUAUCCUGACGUCUCAUCUAAAACCUCCUGUGGUUUCACACCUCCAAAUGGCAAAACGUCACCUCUGGUUUUGGAGACCUUUCACACUGAACUGAUCGUUCCCUCCACGUCCUGACAUGGAAGUAAGCGAUGAUGAUACGUACAGUUAUGAUUGGAAUAUAUAUAUACAUAUCCGUGUUUUGAAGAAAUCUAACAAUUCUGGACACGAGGAUCAUUACAAAUCAACACUGCCAUCCGCAGAGCUACGCUGCUGGUACAUCUGAAACACUCUGAAUCAGGUUUUAUUAUCUAAUAUAUUACAUUUUAGAGAAACUGAGUGGCCUAACUUGUCUAUUUAUUAUCCCACUUCACCCUCUGUCCUCAGUGGAACGCAGCACCCAGGAAGCAAGCGCUCCAAGUUCUGCUUCGCUGCAGACGUGGUGGAUAAGAUUGUCCCAGCUGUGGUGCGCCUGGAACUUUUCCAGCUGAAGCAAGACAAAAUAACACCUUCAACGCCAGGAAAUAGGACUGCCCCUUUUUGUCCUUUCCCCUCGCCAGGCUGCCUGUUUCCAGCGAGGAGCUCUCUGUGGCGAGCGGCUCCGGGUUUACAGUGUCAGAGGACGGCUGGAUCUUCAACAAACAGAAGAUAGAAGUUGGACGCUACAGUCACGGACGUGGAUCAGAAAAUGGACGUGGCGCUCAUCACACUGAGCCAGAUGUGAGUGGCCACAUUUUCCCCCUCAGCUCCCGACGGGCCUCAGACUAAAGUCAGUCUUGUGUUUUCAUCAGGCCUGGCAGCUUGUCAUCAGAGGCCGACAUCAAAGUGGAUAAAUCCUGAACAGAAAGGGGGCGGAUGAUCCGGUCAACGAGGGCUUUUUCCCACCAAAAUUAGACUCCAUCCCAACACGGUCGAUUUGUCGCCCGACCUCCUCUGGGGUGGUAUCGCCUUUUACAAUUCAAGGCUCAGCUUUUCUUUUUUUUUUUGUAUAUUUGCGAACGCAGCUCUGAAUAAAACAUGUCACUGCUCAGACAUGUUCUCACACAGCCAGUUUCUUUGCAUGGUGGAGGAGGAGGACUGUACUUCCAACCACUUCAGUCAGACUCCGCUCAGCAUGAAGUUUACGAUUAACAUUUUUUAGCGCUGAUCUGAAUACAGGAACGGCCCAACAUCAAGAGCAA